UCAAGUUAUUAAGGGUGCAGGGCGGAUGCCUUGGCACUAGGAGCCGAUGAAGGACGUGAUAAGCUGCGAUAAGCUUCGGGGAGUUGCACGUAAACUUUGAUCCGAAGAUUUCCGAAUGAGGAAACUCACUUAGAGUAAUGUCUAAGUAUCAUUAAGUGAAUACAUAGCUUAAUGAGGGGAACUCAGGGAACUGAAACAUCUAAGUACCUGAAGGAAGAGAAAGAAAUUCGAUUCCGUAAGUAGCGGCGAGCGAACGCGGAUUAGCCCAAACCAAUAAAGUUUUCUUUAUUGGGGUUGCGGACAUAUCAUAACGAAGAGGUAUCGUAAUUGAAGAGGUUUGGAAAGACCCACCACAGAAGGUAAUAGACCUGUAUGUUAAACGAGAAGACUUUAGAUAUGAUCCAGAGUACCACGGGACACGUGAAACCCUGUGGGAAGCAGGAGGGACCACCCUCCAAGGCUAAAUACUACCUAGUGACCGAUAGCGUAUAGUACCGUGAGGGAAAGGUGAAAAGAACCCCGGGAGGGGAGUGAAAUAGAACCUGAAACCCUGCACUUACAAGCUGUGGAAGCACAUUUCUUGUGUGACCGCGUACUUUUUGUAGAACGGGCCAACGAGUUACGUUAAGUAGCAAGGUUAAGCACUUAAGGUGCGGAGCCGUAGCGAAAGCGAGUUUUAACUGAGCGUUCAGUUACUUGACGUAGACCCGAAACCGGGCGACCUACCCAUGAGCAGGAUGAAGCGAAAGUAAAAUUUCGUGGAGGUCCGAACCCACGAGCGUUGAAAAGCUCGGGGAUGACUUGUGGGUAGCGGUGAAAUUCCAAUCGAGCCCGGAGAUAGCUGGUUCUCCCCGAAAUAGCUUUAGGGCUAGCCUCAAGGUGAGAGAUACGGAGGUAGAGCACUGAAUGUCCUAGGGGGUAUUGCACCUACCGAAGACUAUCAAACUCCGAAUGCCGUCAUCUUAUACUUGGGAGUCAGACUGUGGGUGAUAAGAUUCAUAGUCGAAAGGGCAACAGCCCAGAUCGUCAGCUAAGGUCCCUAAAUGUAAGUUAAGUGGUAAAGGAUGUGGGAUUGCACAGACAACCAGGAUGUUGGCUUAGAAGCAGCCACUCAUUCAAAGAGUGCGUAAUAGCUCACUGGUCGAGUGAUCCUGCGCCGAAGA
rnacentral:rRNA from 1 species